rnacentral:rRNA from 1 species
UACGUAGGGUGCAAGCGUUGUCCGGAAUUAUUGGGCGUAAAGAGCUCGUAGGCGGUGUGUCGCGUCGGCCGUGAAAACCUGUGGCUUAACUAUGGGCUUGCGGUCGAUACGGGCAUCACUGGAGUUCGGCAGGGGAGACUGGAAUUCCUGGUGUAGCGGUGAAAUGCGCAGAUAUCAGGAGGAACACCCGUGGCUAAGGCGGCUCUCUAGUACGGUACUGACGCUGAGACGCGAAAGCGUGGGGAGCGAACAGG